AGUUGUGACGGUUCGUUAUUUCCGUCACAAUUUUAUUAAGAAAUAAUUAUUAUUUUCCUUACAAAGUCCAUUCCUUGGUUCUGUUACAAAUUAUUCCUAAAAGAAUUAGGGUUUGUGCUGCUUCCGUUUCGUCUCUUUUCACUUCAAUGUUAGGGUUUCUAGUACAUAUGCAGUUUUCACUAAUUUAAUGUUAGGGUUUUUGGCCCAAGAAUAAGUCUCCUCUUUACAUAGCACUUCUCUGCCACUGCCGUUUAAUCUUCUCCGCCACUGUCGUUUCGUCUUCUCCACCGCUAACUCUGUUCCUCCGCCACUACUUUUGCCGCCUUCUUUGUUUGCUUAUCAGAAUUAGGUUUUCUGAUUCAGUAACCUCCAAAUAUCAAUUGAAACUAAUUUUCUGGUAAGUUGAAUCAGUUUGUUGUUUUAAGCCAUUUCACGGUAUCUGUUCAAUUGUUUCAAGCCAUUUCACGGUAUUUUUUCAAUUGUUUCAAUUGAUUUGGAUGAAUUGAAUAUUAUUAUUUCUGAAAUGAUUUGCGCUGUUGACAAAUUAUAUUGUGAAGAAUUUGCUUUGUUGUUUAAAUUAUAUUAUAUAUGUUAUCUGCUGAACUCGAUUUUGCUUUGCUUUUUGCAGUUACUUUAUGUGAUUAAGUAAUGAUUUAGUGCUUUCUUGGCUACUUGUUGUGAUUCUUGAGCCUUCUUAUUGUUUUUAAAUUUAUUUGAGCAGAAAAUGCUAUAUUCUCAUCAAACAAAAAAGUUUAAGUUGACUAGAGAGAAACUGAACGUUUAAAGAAACACUUGUAGAACAUGGAAAAUUAAAAAUACUUUGGGCUUGAAAUGUUUGCAAUUGUUAUCCUAUAGAUAUUUUGAUGUUGAUUUCAGUCUUCGGAUGCUAAUAUCAUGUUUAUCGAUAUCAAGUGUCAAACCCAACCAAAUCACAUUCGCUGGCUCGGUUCGGCUAUUCAGUUUUUAUUAAAUGUGUUUAUUCAGUAAAAUGCUACGGUUUCUUAAUUAAUUGGAUCUAUAUUGAUGAAUUGUAAUAAAUGUGAGAGUGGAUCUUUUAGUUUGUAUUUUACAUAUAUGCAAUGUAUGGCUUAAUGUUAUGGUAAGCUUCUAUUUGUCUUAAUUGUAAUUUAAUGGGUUGUAUUUAUGAAUGGCUUGAAAAAGCAAAAUAGUCUGUUUAUUAUCUCAUGGUCUCACAUUAUUGUUAUAUAGAGCUCAAAUUUUGAAGAAGUGUAAAGAAGACCUCCAUAUCAAAAUUCAUUAAUUUUAAAAGGAAGAUGAUCUAUGACGCCAAAGGACUUGCUGAUGCAGUUGUAUGGCUUGAUGGAGAAAAGAUCAUCCGAUAUGCAUGCCUAAGG